UGUGAUCGUGGUGCUGGUGGCAAGCAGAGGCUGGCAAAAGAAGACAUACACUCAUAGGAAAUGUUUUCUUGAACUUUGUAAAUAAGAAAGAAGCAGAAAAUAUGAAUCACGCCACGUCUCUGUGGCUUUUGAAAAUAGUUCUUAUAUGAGAAUAUCAAACAUUUCAGAACAUGGGCGCGACAUUAUUAGAACCUUGAAAAAAAAAAAGAGUAAUGAUAACCUCCGUGAUCUCUGAAAAUAGUCCUUAUAAGAGUAUCAAGCAUUUCAGAACAUAAUCGCAGAUCAUCAACGGGAAAAUACCACUGCAAACCUGAAAAAAAAAACAAACUUCUGUGUCCUUUCAAAAUAAUCCUUAUAAAAUCACACAGCGAUUGAAAACAAGGGCGCAAAUCACUAAUGGGCAAACACCAAUGAGAACCUAAAAAUGAAUUAGCCAGUAACAAUGUAUGUGACCUUUAGAAGUAGUCCUUAUGAAGUCACAUAAUACAGCAUUUCAGAAUACGGGCACUGAUCAUAAAUGUGAAAAUAUCACUGAAAACCUGGAAAAAUAACCUGUCAUCUUUGAAAAUGGCACAAAACAUUUCAGAAUAUGUGCAUCGAUUAUGAAUAGAGAAAUGCCACACAAAAAAAAAAGACUAAACAAGUAGUCUGUAGUCCUUUUAAAUAGUCCUAAAAAACAGUAUAAUUUGCAGAACACGAGCGUGUGGCGUUGUGUACAAGUAGCUUUGCCUUGCUCUCUGAGUUUUCUCUGAGUUUUGUGGUUUAUUUUUCUUGCCUGUGUGCUGAAAUACCAGGGUGUGUUUUGGCUGUUUUGAGUGUUUGGUUGCUGUGUCAUUGGCCUGACCCAGGAGAAACCCGGAGCACCUGUAGCAUCGAGACCAAGAUCAUUCAUUCCCUCAGGGUUGUGUGAGUGAAGCCUCUCUGAGGGUGGUGGGAUGGCAGCCUUGUUCCUGUGCAAUGAGGGAACACAAAGGAGGUUUCCUUAUCUCUUGCUUAUUCUUGCAAGAAGAAAGUGUGCUCUUACUGAAAAUAGAGCAAGUAGUACACAGGCCAAAACUACUCAUGGCCCAGAAAGUAUUUGUAUAUAUCCAAGUUAUAAAAACAUGUUAAUUUUAUCAGCUCUGUUACCUCAGAAAUAUUUAACUUUUAUAAAUGUGUAUAGCAUGCAGAACAUAAGAUAUCACAAACCUAUCAAGAAACCCUAUUGGGCAUAUGGCAGUUUACUCAGUGCAGAAUCUACCUCAAGAUUUAGUUCAUUGCAGACAGGGCUUAUUAAUAGUGGUUUACAGAUCUGGCCACAAAUAUUAGGGAAACACAAAGGAAGAAAUGCAGUCCAUAAUUGCUUUUACUGUUCUGUGAGGCAUGCCAGUGACUUGGUCAAAGAAAGAAUUGCAAAGGAGAACAGAAAAA